GAUGAAGAACGCAGCGAAAUGCGAUAAGUAAUGUGAAUUGCAGAAUUCAGUGAAUCAUCGAAUCUUUGAACGCACAUUGCGCCCGCCAGUAUUCUGGCGGGCAUGCCUGUUCGAGCGUCAUUUCAACCAUCAAGCCCCCGGCUUGUGUUGGGGACCUGCGGCUGCCGCAGGCCCUGAAAAGCAGUGGCGGGCUCGCUGUCACACCGAGCGUAGUAGCAUACAUCUCGCUCUGGGCGUGCUGCGGGUUCCGGCCGUUAAAAGCCUUAUUUACCCAAGGUUGACCUCGGAUCAGGUAGGAAGACCCGCUGAACUUAAGCAUAUCAAUAAGCGGAGGA
rnacentral:misc_RNA from 1 species